rnacentral:rRNA from 1 species
GGAUUAGUGGCGAACGGGUGAGUAACACGUGGGCAAUCUGCCCUUCACUCUGGGACAAGCCCUGGAAACGGGGUCUAAUACCGGAUAAUACUUUCCCUCUCAUGGGGGAAGGUUAAAAGCUCCGGCGGUGAAGGAUGAGCCCGCGGCCUAUCAGCUAGUUGGUGGGGUAAUGGCCUACCAAGGCGACGACGGGUAGCCGGCCUGAGAGGGCGACCGGCCACACUGGGACUGAGACACGGCCCAGACUCCUACGGGAGGCAGCAGUGGGGAAUAUUGCACAAUGGGCGAAAGCCUGAUGCAGCGACGCCGCGUGAGGGAUGACGGCCUUCGGGUUGUAAACCUCUUUCAGCAGGGAAGAAGCGAAAGUGACGGUACCUGCAGAAGAAGCGCCGGCUAACUACGUGCCAGCAGCCGCGGUAAUACGUAGGGCGCAAGCGUUGUCCGGAAUUAUUGGGCGUAAAGAGCUCGUAGGCGGCUUGUUGCGUCGGUUGUGAAAGCCCGGGGCUUAACCCCGGGUCUGCAGUCGAUACGGGCAGGCUAGAGUGUGGUAGGGGAGAUCGGAAUUCCUGGUGUAGCGGUGAAAUGCGCAGAUA